rnacentral:rRNA from 1 species
GAGUUUGAUCCUGGCUCAGGAUGAACGCUGGCGGCGUGCUUAACACAUGCAAGUCGAACGGUGAAACAGGAGCUUGCUCCUGCGGAUCAGUGGCGAACGGGUGAGUAACACGUGAGCAAUCUGCCCUGGACUCUGGGAUAAGCGUUGGAAACGACGUCUAAUACCGGAUACGAGCUGCGAAGGCAUCUUCAGCAGCUGGAAAGAACUUCGGUCCAGGAUGAGCUCGCGGCCUAUCAGCUAGUUGGUGAGGUAACGGCCCACCAAGGCGACGACGGGUAGCCGGCCUGAGAGGGUGACCGGCCACACUGGGACUGAGACACGGCCCAGACUCCUACGGGAGGCAGCAGUGGGGAAUAUUGCACAAUGGGCGCAAGCCUGAUGCAGCAACGCCGCGUGAGGGACGACGGCCUCGGUUGUAAC